rnacentral:lncRNA from 1 species
AUGAUAACGGUCUCAUGUUUCUGUCACUCAAUGAUAUUAUUUUUCAUAUUGUUGAGAAUAAGAAAUAAAUAUAUGAUGGUCACAUAUCUCUGGCAUUGCCAACUUGACUAUUUUUGUGAGUCAAAGAUAAACAAAUAAUACAAAGAAGUGUUCUUUGUCUGUAUGAUUUUGAAUUAUAUAGAACUUAUAAAUCUUGUUUCAUGGAUAAAAUGACGA